AGAAACUCCGUUUCGAAGAAUUUAAUUGUCAAAAUUUGAAUUUAGUUUCUUGUCCAACAGAAUUCUUACGUCUUUGGAAAAUGAAGAGAUCGAACAAAGUGGACUGAAACUCGAGAAAAAAGACAGAGAAAAGAAGAAACGACCUUGCUGUCCGUCUUAACAGCCAAUGAUGGAAUCUUCGAUCCGAAGACAGCUAGUCUGUGGAGCGAACGGUCUCAUAAAGAACGCCAUUUUCUCGUACGACUAAUUCGCCCAUGUACACGCGUUAAAAUAUCACAUCUUGUCAACAAUACGUGUUCUGGAACAAUCUUUUAGUAAUCUUGUUAGCAAGUUGUAACAAUGUCGUUAGUUUGUCAAGUUGCUACAAGGUUGUCACUCACAACUUGUUAUAGGGACAUUUGAAGCUCUAGAUUAACCGAAAAUACGUGUUUGAAGAGUGUUCCAACUAUGUUUUAUUCCAAAUAGAAUACACGAGUUCUAGAAUUUGUCUGUCGAAUCAACAACCUUGUAGCAAGCUGACAACAAGCCGUCGACAGCUUCUCAGAAAUUAGCGGACACAUCUUGUUGAAAAGCUGUGAGAUUUUUACCCGUGUUGCAACAGAAUUCGAUAAACAAUCUUUGAGAAUUUGUGUGAGUCGUUUGGACGACUCGACGAAAGCAUGCUUCCUCGGAAAAAAUUGAAUUUUAGUCCCUCUUUGCGGCUUCACUGCCUAAAUAUAUUAAAUUAUAUAGAUUGUUGCCAAAUGUUAGCAAAGAAGUCAGGCUCUGUAGUUAAAGUUUUAGUCAAUUGUAAAUAUUUAAACAUUCAUACCGAUGACAUUGAAAUCAGUACAUGCAUAAAACGUUCGUAGUUCAGAGAAUAUAUUUAUUUAAAUAAUAAAAUAGCAGGCGAAAUUGAAACAGAAGGAACUAGAGGGCACUCAGAGACUGCAUACCUCCGCCCGUUACUCGGAAGUGAAACGCAACCUUGGAAUUUCCUAAGAAAUCCACUUUAUAAUUCUUAAGCAUAAAAGAUUUCAGGCCCCCGCAAUUGAAAUCGAAUUGCUAAUAGAACAAUAUUACUGUUGUUGUACUGUACAGUACUUGUAAUUAAAAUAAAAACUUUUUAAGUGUCAUUAAAUAAAUGCACAAAUUUUGCUUUAUGCACUCGCGCGUGC